rnacentral:pre_miRNA from 1 species
AUGAAUGUUCAGUGGCUGCAUAUCUGAUGAGCCACGGUAAAAUCCUUGAGCAAACUGUUCUGCUUCCGUGCCUCUCACAGCGCUGGUUCCAGUGCAUAUGAUUCAGAUGUAGAGGAACAACACAUAAAUCGUCUAUAUAGCUGGAAGAGACUCGUCAUUUGGGAUCAGUGAGUUGAGCAGUCGA